GACGAACGCUGACAGAAUGCUUAACACAUGCAAGUCUACUUGAACUUCGGUUUGGGUGGCGGACGGGUGAGUAACGCGUAAAGAACUUGCCUCACAGUUAGGGACAACAUUUGGAAACGAAUGCUAAUACCUGAUAUUAUGAUUUUAGGGCAUCCUAAGAUUAUGAAAGCUAUAUGCGCUGUGAGAGAGCUUUGCGUCCCAUUAGCUAGUUGGAGAGGUAACGGCUCACCAAGGCGAUGAUGGGUAGCCGGCCUGAGAGGGUGAACGGCCACAAGGGGACUGAGACACGGCCCUUACUCCUACGGGAGGCAGCAGUGGGGAAUAUUGGACAAUGGACCAAAAGUCUGAUCCAGCAAUUCUGUGUGCACGAUGACGUUUUUCGGAAUGUAAAGUGCUUUCAGUUGGGAAGAAAAAAAUGACGGUACCAACAGAAGAAGUGACGGCUAAAUACGUGCCAGCAGCCGCGGUAAUACGUAUGUCACAAGCGUUAUCCGGAUUUAUUGGGCGUAAAGCGCGUCUAGGUGGUUAUGUAAGUCUGAUGUGAAAAUGCAGGGCUCAACUCUGUAUUGCGUUGGAAACUGCAUGACUAGAGUACUGGAGAGGUAAGCGGAACUACAAGUGUAGAGGUGAAAUUCGUAGAUAUUUGUAGGAAUGCCGAUGGGGAAGCCAGCUUACUGGACAGAUACUGACGCUAAAGCGCGAAAGCGUGGGUAGCAAACAGG
rnacentral:rRNA from 1 species